rnacentral:rRNA from 1 species
AUACGGAGGGGGUUAGCGUUGUUCGGAAUUACUGGGCGUAAAGCGCACGUAGGCGGACUGGAAAGUUGGGGGUGAAAUCCCGGGGCUCAACCCCGGAACUGCCUCCAAAACUUCCAAUCUAGAGAUCGAGAGAGGUGAGUGGAAUUCCAAGUGUAGAGGUGAAAUUCGUAGAUAUUUGGAGGAACACCAGUGGCGAAGGCGGCUCACUGACUCGAUACUGACGCUGAGGUGCGAAAGCGUGGGGAGCAAACAGGAUUAGAAACCCCAGUAGUCC